GAGUGUGUAAAAGGCCAGCUGAGAAAAUCUCUUGGACAGAAAGAAAACGCAAACCUGAUUAUGCAAAAACGGGUGCUGUCCCCCAGACCAGAAGCAGAAGCCUUUUGCAGGGAACGCUGACUGAAAGCAUUUGCGCUGACCACACAGUGCACGAGUGUUCGGGGCUGACCUUCACACUGUGGGCUGUUGCCUGCCUUGGAUAAGCGCACUCUUCAGCCUUCUGAAAGAGCAAGCCAUGCGCUGGCCCAGUUCUCAGAGUGCUGCUUUGUGGGAUUUGGUGGGCUGAACGCAGAGGCGAGCAGUCAGGCGCAGAGAGGAAAUCAUUUGGAGGGGUGGAUGGAGUUUGCAACGGCGACUCCUGGUACCUGUUUGCACAGAAAGAAUGGCCUUUCGCUUACCUGUGUCAACAAAUGCGUCACUAGCUAUGAGGAAAGGCGAACGGCUCCCAGACAGCAGCGUGCAAAGAUGGAGAAGAAGAGCGGGCAGCUGUCGGGCCGGGCUGAUGUUCACACGCCAAGCAAACAUAGCAGUCGCUGCCCUCUGCCCCGGUUCACCCUCCCACUCUGUAUCGCAUUCUUCUGUGAGUGGGCGGGAGGUCGAACGGGUAUGUGGGAGCCCAAGAGAGCAGGCCUGGCUGUGUUGAACUGAGGGAGGGAGCACUCUCAGCUUGGCCAGGGAGAGCCAUGUGUGGCGUCAAGGCCUUGGGAUGGCAGGACACAGGAGAAAUUGCGCCCAGCAGCUGGUCUUAACCAGGGUCAGUUCAAAGAAGAAGAAAAAAUGCAGCAGCAGCAGCAGACGCCCGUGCCUGCACCACUCAAACCAUCCGCCCCCCGCCACGCACUCCCCGACCCCCUUGGAGUUAUCGACCGCUGAUCGGUGGGGGACCCCUGCUGGCAGUCCUGCGCUACUGCAGCUCUUACAGAGACGCCAAUAGAAUGUAGACUGCUUAGACCUUUGUUAGAUAAUUCGAUCAUUUUUUAAGAACUUGAAUGACCAGAUUAAUGUUCAUUUCAAUAAACAAUAGACUCACUGAAACAGAUCAACUAGGCAGACAGGUUUAACCCCUUGCACCCUGCCAAUGUAGUUUGAGAAUGAAAUGUGAUAAUGAGGCCUACUC